AUGAAUACAGAAAUUUGUACAGAAAUGGCUGGUUUGCCUCCAAACCAUCCAUUUUUCCUAAAUGAAUUCCUGGUCAGCAGUGCAGCAGUGUACAGCAGGUUGAAGGAGCCAUUAAGACGGAGCUCAGUGGUCUAUCAGUGUACGGUUAUGGACGUCGAGGUCCAAAGACCCGUUGCGUAUCGGCGGGUCCUCCAGGCCCAUGUCAGGGCCAUGGGUGGCCUGGUUCGCCAGGUGCGCCUUAACAGGGCUUGCCAGCGGCAGGUUGCCCUGUUAAGGCGUGAAGUGGAUGAUGUCACCCGCCAGUCCAAGGACUACCGCCGGCAGCUGGAGCAGGCCCUCCAGCAGACGCAGAGCAGCAGCCCGAUCCGGGCCAGCAGCACCAGCACACAGAGCAGGAGGACGAGGAGGAGCAUGAGGAUGCUCCGGGCAAUUAAAAAAAAU
rnacentral:lncRNA from 1 species